UGAUAUUUAACAUGUGGUAGGCAACGAGACAUAAUCGAUAGCAUCAAAGUUUCUAGCAUGGCAAUGAUAGUAAUGGUAUCUGGGGAAAUGAUCAUCUUGUCUGAGAUCCCGCUUGGAAGAAGAAUGCCUCCGUGAAGCAGACGAACCGACGUAGUCGAACGGGUCCUCACAAUCCGACACGCUGCGGAACUCUAUCGAGACGAAGCAAACCGGAAACACAAAUCAACACACAGAAUUCACCACACGAUGCACAACACAAAUGAUGCAUGAUCAGCUGAA
rnacentral:lncRNA from 1 species